CUGAACCAGCCAAGUAGCGUGAAGGAUGACUGCCCUAUGGGUUGUAAACUUCUUUUAUACGGGAAUAAGGUGGAGUAUGCAUACUCCUUUGUAUGUACCGUAUGAAUAAGGAUCGGCUAACUCCGUGCCAGCAGCCGCGGUAAUACGGAGGAUCCGAGCGUUAUCCGGAUUUAUUGGGUUUAAAGGGAGCGUAGGCGGGUGCUUAAGUCAGUUGUGAAAGUUUGCGG
rnacentral:rRNA from 1 species